GGGCCGUUCUCACACUUGGGAAACUCUUCAGCAAGGUUCAUCUGAGAAGCCAGCGCAGUUCAGGCAGAGGAAGCACCGAGCGGUGGGGAAUUCCCAGCGGAGGAAAGGGCGAGCACCGAGUGACCUUCUAAACGCCAGGGCCCAGAGACGGGGCUGGGGCUACACGAAAAGACUGCUCUAGCUUUGCCCUAGGCGUGGGAGAUGCGGACGCCUUCGGUGCUGCUGGACAGAGCUCAGACGCGAGACACACUUCUCUCGCUGCUCUGUCCCACUCCCUGCAGCCGUCCUGGAAGUCCUCCUUCGUGUCUCUGCGGGGAGGGAGCGGCUGGCGGCCGCCGUCAGCACAGAGGCAGCCUCCUAGAAACGCCGGGACGCUUUCACCGCGCUCGCCGGGCUUGGCACUGCGCCUUCUGACCCUUCCCCAAGUCAGAAUGCCCGUGAAAGAGAAGCCUUCCAGACAGCCAGGCGGCCCCAGCGCACCGAAAGGUAAGUCCCAUCUCUGUUUCGGGCCAAUCCGAGGGUGCUUCCAGCCCUUAGAUUCGGAAUUCACGAAUUUUGAGACUGAAAAUCCACUCAUUGGAGUUUGGCUCUGUACAACUGAGAAGAAUAAGGUUUAUUGAACAUGUGACUAAAAGCAGAAGUUUUCAGGGGGAAAUAAUGACACCAUCUUGGAGAAGGAACUCUUCACGGAAACGAGCGCGCCGACUGGAACGCGCGAGGCUUGCUUGCUCACCCCGCAGGCCUUGACGGCGCUUUCCUUGAAGGUUCUGUUAGCUGUAAGCCGCGGUAUUCUAGGCGCUCACGCUUAAUUUUGUUACACCACGGUAGCUAAAUGUACAAUUUAUAUCCGUAGCUUUUCCCAAUAAGGAGCUCAAAGCAUAGGGUUUUACCCCGACCGUGAUCUGGGACCAUGCAGCAGAGUUUUGGCCGCAGAUAACCCCGGAAUCUCGCUCAGAAAGGCGGGAGCAGUACAAAGCCUUUGCAGGAAGGAAGCAAAGGACCUAGGCCAAUUAUUUGGGAGGUUUGUGCGGAUACGAGGCAGAGGAAACCGCAGGGUGGGUCAGGAAAGAGGCUCACGGAAAGGACCUUCGAAGCAGAGGUAAAGGGCCCGACCCGAGUGAGAGCCUGUGGGCCAGGCUUGCCGAGAGCGGACUGCGUGCUGAACGUGAGAGCAGGCCCAGCGCAGAGUUAGAAGACCCGGGCAAAUCCGCGCCUUUUAAACAUCAAGCAGCAUUGUGGUUCGCACAGCCAGUGACAACUCUCCUCACACCCAGCUGAUGCUGAGCUUCCUGUUGUCGCAUCUGGAGAGGCAGAGGAGCCCCGGCGGCGUGGCUGUCUGACUUCUCCCUGGAAACUUUGUCAACCCCAUCCAGAAACAGGCUCCUCCCCCUGACCCACGGCCACACGAGCGGCUUCCACGGAGCACCACCUCCGUGUCCUGAGCCUUAGGCUCCUUCCAGAGGCAGACGGAAACUUGGGGACAGACAGAAGACAGGGAAACCCCACCGCACUGAUUCUACCACAGUUCUGCUCUAGGACUGGAUUCUCUUUUCCCCCAGAGAACCAUCUUGCCAAGGGUGAAGCUAAGCUUUUCCCCACUUCCCCACCAGCCUCGCCCAUGGGUCAGGGGAACGUUAGCAGAAAUACGUUUUUCCAGGAUGAUCUGGUUAGCUUUCCAUUCAUUAGUUCAUUUACUUAUCACUGUAGAGAUGGAAGGAGGGGAAAGGAGGGGAAAAAGGGAUUAAGAUGUGUUACGUAUCUGCACCAACUCCACGCAAGGAGCGUAAACGUUAUGUACUGCAAACAUAAAUAAAUAAAUGAAUA